UUCCCGAGGCCCUCGGUCUGCAGAGCCCCGCCGGGAGGCCGGCGCCCCAGGACAGCGAGGAGGGCCCGGGGGUAGGGGGACUCCGACCUCCUCGGUCUUGGGGUUCGUUGUUUCUCACAGACAGCGAAGUCACCGAGGCCAGAGACCGACAAAGCGAAGUAGAAGAGGAGAAGCCGAAUUUAAUCUGUCCCAAAGGAGGAAGCGUGAUCAGCUGAGCACCGCUCUAUUCCCGGGGCCACACUGCAAACUCACACUGCGUGGCCCUCUCUGCCCCCAGGUGGGGGUCGGUCUCCUUCAUGGCUCCACUUUGCAGAUGAGGACGCUGAGGCACUUAAAGAAACGAAAUUGCCAGGACUGGGCCAGCCACAUUCCGAGUGCUUUCCCAUGUCCGUGAAGAGCACUGCCGUCCGCCCAAGUCUUCCAGCCAAUGUCCACGGCCGUCUGAGUGACCCACGUGCAGUCCAUCUGGAAGUCCUAAAAAGCUCCAGCUCCAAAGAAUCAAAUUUCCCCCUUGUCUCUCUUGAAUAUGCGUCGUAGUCUCCUAACUGCUCUUUCUAAUUCCACUCUCCACCAAGUAGUCAUAUUGAUGUUUUUAAAGUGAAAUAGUUUUAUACGUCUACUUAAAGGAUAUCAAGUACAUUCUAAACUCUUAGAUAAAAAUUUAAACUUAGGGUGGCUACCAGGUCCUCAUGAGCUAAUCCAUCUCUCCUGGCCUAACUAGAGUGCUUCCUCUUGGCUCUCCAUUCUUGCCACGCUGACCUCCUUUGUGCGCUCUGGACGUAUCAACGGUGUGAUGUCAGAAACGCUCUUCCUUGGAAUCUAUCACCUUCCCAGUUAUCUGUCAGAUUGCGUGGAUAUCACAACCGCACUCUAAGUACUCCUCUACAAUGACAUCAUCACAUCACUCCAUGUCUUUCUUUCAUAGCAUCUAUCUAGGCUCUUCUCGAUAAUCUGUGUACUUGCGGAUUCUAUGCCGUCACAAAAAUGUAAGCUUCUUGUGGGUAGAGAGCUCACUGUCUUUUUAUCAUGACUGUUUUCUGGGCUUAGAUCAAUGCCCGACACAUUGCAAAGGCUCAGAAAUAUCUGUUGAAUGAAUAAAUGGCCAAAUGAACUGAG